CAAAAUACAAAGUCACCAUGGAGAAAUUGUUUGAUCUGAAUACUAAGAUACUCCAACAAAUUCAAAUGCUGGAACAGAGACAAGCUGUCAUCAUGAAUGACUUGGCAAAAGUUAAGUCUGUUCUCAUGAAGCGGGCAGAAGAGGAUGCACAUGAGGAACUUUUUAAACAACAACAGUGCUCCAGCUUUGAAACGUUUGAAGCCUUCUUAUCGAGAGCUUUAUGUUAGUACUACUAUAUAAAUUUAGCGUUUAUUUUUACAACAAAGCCACAGUUUUAUUUAUUUAUUUUUUUUGCAGCAGAUACCAUGUACAGUAAAAGAAAUGUUGAAGCCUGGUAUAUUUUAAUCAUGACAAUAUUAUGUAUGUUUUUGUCAGGUACACUAUCUCAUCAAUACUCACGGCAGCUCCAAUAUAGGUGAGAUGGUGAGACAGGCUUUAAAAAGCAUAGCGUCAGACAAUGUUCUCUGUCUGUAUAACAGAACGGGGAAAGAUGGGAAGAAGGUGGUGCCACCUGUGCUCCUGACAUGUUUGAAAAAAUGUGUCAGGUCUUUUCACAAACAAAAUGAAAUAGAGGUGAAGAAGCUAAAAGUAACCACCAGAACAACACCAGACGCGGAAUGUAUUCGCCAAGUAGAAUUUUUUUGUCCAACGCCAACACCAGGCUGAAAAGGAAACCAAAUAAAGGAAAAAGCUGAC